AACUAGAGGGCGAGGGUGCGCUCCAGGCCAGCUAAGGCCGCGGAUACCUCCGAGAGGGCAGCGGCAGCUGACAGAGCCGGAGCCUCCCACCCCAGGAUACACCAAAAUCUGCAGCGCCUGCAGGAGAACUCGAUUCGAGGGCCGAAAUGCAGCAGCCAUACUGUCUCGGACCAUACCAACUACUGGAACCGGGGCGAGGAGGCGGAGCGUCGGUCCUGUCGUCGAGAGCGACAAAAGGGAUUCGUCCAAUUCUGGGCGCCCCGAGAGGUCGAGCUGUAACCCCGCCCCUUCCUCUGUCCGUAACCCGUUGGCUCUUCCUUUUGGUAAAAGAUACCUGCUUUCUUCAGCCUAUGUAGACAGCCACAAAUGGGAAGCAAGAGAAAAAGAACAUUACUGUCUUGCUGAUCUUGCAUCUUUAAUGGAUAAAACAUUUGAGAGAAAGUUGCCUGUUAGUUCUUUAACAAUAUCACGGCUUAUAGACAACAUUUCCUCUCGGGAAGAGAUAGAUCAUGC
rnacentral:sRNA from 1 species